GAUGAACGCUGGCGGCGUGCCUAAUACAUGCAAGUCGAGCGAACAGACGAGGAGCUUGCUCCUUCGACGUUAGCGGCGGACGGGUGAGUAACACGUAGGUAACCUACCUAUAAGACUGGGAUAACUUCGGGAAACCGGAGCUAAUACCGGAUAAUAUUUCGAACCGCAUGGUUCGAUAGUGAAAGAUGGCUUUGCUAUCACUUAUAGAUGGACCUGCGCCGUAUUAGCUAGUUGGUAAGGUAACGGCUUACCAAGGCAACGAUACGUAGCCGACCUGAGAGGGUGAUAGGCCACACUGGAACUGAGACACGGUCCAGACUCCUACGGGAGGCAGCAGUAGGGAAUCGUCCGCAAUGGGCGAAAGCCUGACGGAGCAACGCCGCGUGAGUGAUGAAGGUCUUCGGAUCGUAAAACUCUGUUAUUAGGGAAGAACAAACGUGUAAGUAACUGUGCACGUCUUGACGGUACCUAAUCAGAAAGCCACGGCUAACUACGUG
rnacentral:rRNA from 1 species